UACGUAGAGUGCGAGCGUUAUCCGGAUUUAUUGGGCGUAAAGAGCUCGUAGGCGGUCUGUCGCGUCUGCUGUGAAAUCCCGAGGCUCAACCUCGGGCUUGCAGUGGGUACGGGCAGGCUAGAGUGCGGUAGGGGAGAAUGGAACUCCUGGUGUAGCGGUGGAAUGCGCAGAUAUCAGGAAGAACACCGAUGGCGAAGGCAGUUCUCUGGGCCGUAACUGACGCUGAGGAGCGAAAGCGUGGGGAGCGAACAGG
rnacentral:rRNA from 1 species